GACGAACGCUGGCGGCGUGCCUAAUACAUGCAAGUAGAACGCUGAAGGAGGAGCUUGCUCUUCUGGAUGAGUUGCGAACGGGUGAGUAACGCGUAGGUAACCUGCCUGGUAGCGGGGGAUAACUAUUGGAAACGAUAGCUAAUACCGCAUAACAGUAGAUGUUGCAUGACAUUUACUUAAAAGGUGCAAUUGCAUCACUACCAGAUGGACCUGCGUUGUAUUAGCUAGUUGGUGGGGUAACGGCUCACCAAGGCGACGAUACAUAGCCGACCUGAGAGGGUGAUCGGCCACACUGGAACUGGGACACGGCCCAGACUCCUACGGGAGGCAGCAGUAGGGAAUCUUCGGCAAUGGACGGAAGUCUGACCGAGCAACGCCGCGUGAGUGAAGAAGGUUUUCGGAUCGUAAAGCUCUGUUGUAAGAGAAGAACGAGUGUGAGAGUGGAAAGUUCACACUGUGACGGUAUCUUACCAGAAAGGGACGGCUAACUACGUG
rnacentral:rRNA from 1 species